GUCUUUUGGUUAUUUAUAAAGGUGUAUUUAGUUAAAUAGUUUUAAAAAGGGGUGUUUUUUUUGGUAAAAAAAGUUUGAGGCCCUUUGCUCUUCUGCAUAGUAAAACCAGUGCAGAAAAAGCAAAGAAACCUCGAACAAAGAGCACAAAGGGGUGUGUAAGUCUAUAGAGAGAAAAAAGUAAAAACUUUUUUUUUCCUAUGAUGAUCCUUCCGCAGGUUCACCUACGGAAA
rnacentral:misc_RNA from 1 species